rnacentral:rRNA from 1 species
GUAGGGAAUUUUGCGCAAUGGGGGAAACCCUGACGCAGCAACGCCGCGUGAUUGAUGAAGCCCUUCGGGGUGUAAAGAUCUGUCAGUGGGGACGAAACUUGACGGUACCCACAGAGGAAGCACCGGCUAACUCCGUGCCAGCAGCCGCGGUAAUACGGAGGGUGCAAGCGUUGUCCGGAAUCAUUGGGCGUAAAGAGUUCGUAGGUGGUUUGUUAAGUUUGGUGUUAAAUGCAGAGGCUCAACUUCUGUUCGGCAUCGGAUACUGGCAGACUAGAAUGCGGUAGAGGUAAAGGGAAUUCCUGGUGUAGCGGUGAAAUGCGUAGAUAUCAGGAGGAACAUCGGUGGCGUAAGCGCUUUACUGGGCCGUAAUUGACACUGAGGAACGAAAGCCAGGGUAGCAAAUGGG